rnacentral:rRNA from 1 species
AGUUAUCGUUUAUUUGAUAGUACCUUACUACAUGGAUAACCGUGGUAAUUCUAGAGCUAAUACAUGCUGAAAGCCCCAACCUCUGGGAGGGGUGUGUUUAUUAGAUAAAAAACCAACGCCCUCCGGGGCUCCUUGGUGAAUCAUGAUAAUCCCACGAAUCGCAUGGCCUUGCGCCGGCGAUGGUUCAUUCAAAUUUCUGCCCUAUCAACUUUCGAUGGUAGGAUAGUGGCCUACCAUGGUCGCAACGGGUAACGGGGAAUUAGGGUUCUAUUCCGGAGAGGGAGCCUGAGAAACGGCUACCACAUCCAAGGAAGGCAGCAGGCGCGCAAAUUACCCAAUCCCGACACGGGGAGGUAGUGACAAUAAAUACUGAUACAGGGCUCUUUCGGGUCUUGUAAUCGGAAUGGGUACAAUCUAAACCCCUUAACGAGGAACAAUUGGAGGGCAAGUCUGGUGGACCUGGGUGGAAGGUCCCCGCCUAUCCAAAGGCGGGCUGUUGACGCCAGCGAUAGCGGGGUCAUGGUCGACAUUGGCCGGCCCCGCUAGUCGAGCACCCGGAUCGGUGAUGGGUGGGUGCCGGCAAGACAACCUGGAUCGGGGGAGGCUGAGGCCAUCAGGAGGCCCGCCGAUCCCGAGCGGAGUCACCGGGGGGCGUUGCCGCCUGGGGCCCGUGUAGAGCGCGCAAAGGUGUCGGUCGGUCCAUGGCGGACCGGCUUGAGGGACGCGCCAUUCCCGUCCGAAAGGACGGACUCCGCCGUAGUCCCCAUCAGGCGAGGGCGGAGUGGGACCGCGACCCAAGGCGUCGAGGUCCCCGGACGGCAAGGCCAGCAGCCGCGGUAAUACCAGCUCCAAUAGCGUAUAUUAAAGUUGUUGCAGUUAAAAAGCUCGUAGUUGAACCUUGGGCCUGGCUGGCCGGUCCGCCUCACCGCGUGCACUGGACCGGCCGGGCCUUUCCUCCUGGGGAACCGCAUGCCCUUCACUGGGUGUGCCGGGGAUCUAGGACGUUUACCUUGAGAAAAUUAGAGUGUUCAAAGCAGGCCUAUGCUCGAAUACAUUAGCAUGGAAUAAUAGAAUAGGACGUGCGGUUCUAUUUUGUUGGUUUCUAGGACCGCCGUAAUGAUUAAUAGGGAUAGUCGGGGGCAUCCGUAUUCAAUUGUCAGAGGUGAAAUUCUUGGAUUUAUUGAAGACGAACUACUGCGAAAGCAUUUGCCAAGGAUGUUUUCAUUAAUCAGGGAACGAAAGUUAGGGGAUCGAAGACGAUCAGAUACCGUCGUAGUCUUAACCAUAAACUAUGCCGACUAGGGAUCGGGCGGUGUUAUUCUUUUGACCCGCUCGGCACCUUACNNNNNNNNNNNNNNNNNNNNNNNNNNNNNNNNNNNNNNNNNNNNGCUGAAACUUAAAGAAAUUGACGGAAGGGCACCACCAGGCGUAAACGGUCGCACCGAGCCGCGACAGCCUCUGCGCCAGAUAGCAGCCUGAAAGGGUCGGGUGAUGUCCGGUGCGCUAAGACCGCACCAAACGUUAAAUGCUAGUUCGUCCACCAAGGGUGAGCAACACACUCAAACUGCGGGGAACCCCUAAAGCUCCUGCUACCAAGCUGAUGUUCGGAAGGCGUCAGUGGCCGGGCUAAUGGCCCUGGGUAUGGUGAAAAGGCAUGGAGAUGUUCCAAUGGGCUAUCCGCAUCCAAAUCCCUCUGUUUGGCUAGACCGCAAGGUUGUGCCGGAGCAUGGGGUCGGUUCAGAGACUAUAUGGGUGUGGGUUGGGUCUGUUAUGUAUGGCAUACCUGUGUAUGUUGGGGGUGUUCUGUGGCCGGAUGGGACUGUGUAUGUUGAUCCACAUGUUCAGGUGAACAUGUAAUGCUAGUGCAGUAACAAAGCGUGUUUGACCUGUAACCCUUGUGCCCUCGACAUCGAAAGCUUGCACAGUGGGCCGCAGUACGGACCUCGUAUCCUCGCGCGACAAGACCAUUAGCCGCAUCACCUCGGUGAGCUCUGUUGCGCUGCUGCGCCUAGUAUAUGAGCGAUCGACCUUCACGUUCCUCCGCCGCGCACAGCCAAUGUGACAUGCAUAAGUUAGACCCUGCCUAAGAUAUAGUCCANNNNNNNNNNNNNNNNNNNNNNNNNNNNNNNNNNNNNNNNNNNNNNAGUGCUGUACGUUCCAUGCGGGGAAGUCCCUGAAUUUGGGCAUGGAUGACUCUUGAGAGGGUCAGUGCAGUGCAACGCCAGCUGGUACAGGGGACGCCAAGGGCUGUCGGUGACAAGCCCUGGCCAAUCCUGUGACGAGUCUGAGUUACGUCAGACCGUUGCAACGCGCGCCAAGCGGUGGGUCUCUCUCCUGUCGUUCGGCGAUGGCCGUUUGGAGGAGGCUUAAGGUACGUGCUAAUCCCACGAGUAAUCGUGCCCUAGCUACAAGGUCCAAAUGCCAAAGCGAUAGGGGUUCUCAUCACGAGCUGAUAGGGAAUGGGGUAUGCAUAGAUGGAUAACACCUUUCUGGUGCAGGAGGUACGAAGGUGCAAUGUCCCGUCUAGAGCAAGAAUUUUGCCAGACACAAGUAGGAUUGACAGAUUGAGAGCUCUUUCUUGAUUUUGUGGGUGGUGGUGCAUGGCCGUUCUUAGUUGGUGGAGUGAUUUGUCUGCUUAAUUGCGAUAACGAACGAGACCUUAACCUGCUAAAUAGCCCGGCCAGCUUUGGCUGGCCGCCGGUUUCUUAGAGGGACUAUCCGCUCAAGCCGAUGGAAGUUUGAGGCAAUAACAGGUCGACGCCGUCACAGGCCUGUCACAGUGGGGGCCGUCUUGGCGACUCCGCUAGUUCAACGUCUUCAUCUCUGUGGGGGAGGUCCCCUCCGAUGCCGGGCAGAGACGGGCAGGCUGAGGUCAGCCUACCUGUGACGUGAGCAACACCACCUGGUACAGGGAACGCCGAGGGCCUCUGCGGAGUGUCGCUCCGGCCGAUCCUGUGGCGAGUCCGCGCCACAGCGGACCGUCGCAACGCGCGGAAAGGGGUGGGCCGGCUGGCCCGGCUUAAGGUACGUGCUAAUCCCUUGGGCAACCAAGCACCUGACGGUGAGACCCGGCAGAAGUAGACCCGUCGGGAGGGCGAGUGAACCGCACCUGUGGAGAUCCUCGUCGGGACUGAAUGCUGUGAUGCCCUUAGAUGUUCUGGGCCGCACGCGCGCUACACUGACAGAGCCAACGAGUUCAUCACCUUGGCCGGAAGGCUUGGGUAAUCUUGUUAAACUCUGUCGUGCUGGGGAUAGAGCAUUGCAAUUAUUGCUCUUCAACGAGGAAUGCCUAGUAAGCGCGAGUCAUCAGCUUGCGUUGAUUACGUCCCUGCCCUUUGUACACACCGCCCGUCGCUACUACCGAUUGAAUGGCUCAGUGAGGCCUCCGGACUGGCCCGAGGAGGUCGGCAACGACCACCCGGGGCCGGGAAGC